rnacentral:rRNA from 1 species
UACCAGCACCCCGAGUGGUCGGGACGAUUAUUGGGCCUAAAGCAUCCGUAGCCGGUUCUACAAGUCUUCCGUUAAAUCCACCUGCUUAACAGAUGGGCUGCGGAGGAUACUAUGGAGCUAGGAGGCGGGAGAGGCAAGCGGUACUUAGUGGGUACGGGUAAAAUCCGUUGAUCCAUUGAAGACCACCAGUGGCGAAGGCGGCUUGCCAGAACGCACUCGACGGUGAGGGAUGAAAGCUGGGGGAGCAAACCGG